rnacentral:rRNA from 1 species
AGUGAACGCUGGCGGUAGGCCUAACACAUGCAAGUCGAACGGCAGCACAGUAAGAGCUUGCUCUUACGGGUGGCGAGUGGCGGACGGGUGAGGAAUACAUCGGAAUCUACUUUUUCGUGGGGGAUAACGUAGGGAAACUUACGCUAAUACCGCAUACGACCUACGGGUGAAAGCAGGGGAUCUUCGGACCUUGCGCGAUUGAAUGAGCCGAUGUCGGAUUAGCUAGUUGGCGGGGUAAAGGCCCAACAAGGCGACGAUCCGUAGCUGGUCUGAGAGGAUGAUCAGACACACUGGAACUGAGACACGGUCCAGACUCCUACGGGGGGCAGCAGUGGGGAAUAUUGCACAAUGGGGGAAAGCCUGAUCCAGCCAUACCGCGUGGGUGAAGAAGGCCUUCGGGUGGUAAAGCCCUGUUGUUGGGAAAGAAAAGCAGCAGGUUAAUACCCCGCUGUUCUGACGGUACCCAAAGAAUAAGCACCGGCUAACUUCGUG